rnacentral:rRNA from 1 species
CUUUUUACUUUUUGCAAGCUUGUGUAAGAGCGAAUCCGUGUGUCUCAGGCAAUGGACCAGGAUUAGAUACCCUGUUACUCUGAGUGUAAAGAAUAAAUAGAGAAGAUAUUUUGCUGGGCGACUACGUUAUAACUAGUAAAAGUCGAAGUACUUGGCGGUCUAAAAUAAUCAGCCCGUGAGACUUGACGGUUAAACCGAUGAUCCGCGUGAUAUCUUACUUACCUUUGAAAAAUCAGCUGGUGUAAGGUCGUAGUCAGUUUAUGUUGUGAAGGUAUAGGCAAGCAUUCUUUGUCGGAAUUAAUUCAGAUCGUUUUGCUGCCUAUGGGUAAGGCUUAGUUGAGUCACAUUGAUAAGAAUUAAACUAAAAGUCUCUAAGAAAAGAGGGCUGGAGGAAGGAAUGGGUAGUAGUGCGGAAGUAGUGCGUCUUCGCGAAUAGUAAAUUUUUAGGUGUACAAAUCGCCCGUCGUCCCCGGGUUGAACUUGGGGU